GAUGGCCACUCCAUUAACCGAUUUGUUACAACUUUGGAGGUAUGACACCAUGUUACACAGUUGGGAUUUUGUUCUUCAAAUUAAAUCCUCACCUGUUUUCCUCUUUAACUAGCACUGAUCAUUAUGGCCAAACAGUUGAAGUCUGGCUUGUUUUUCUUUCAGACUAAAUUUUGUUCAUCCCUGGGAGUUCAUUUGCGAGUCUUUCCUGAAUAAUGCAGUGUCUGUGUGGUCCUGAGAGUUUUAUAUUUACAUACAGAUGCUUGCGGUACCUUCGGUCAUUUGGAAAUGCUCUCAAGGAGUAAGGCAAAACGGGAAUGGCUCUAGGUUGGAACUUAAAUACAUCCACGGAUGCACUCCCAAUUAACUAUGACAACUGGCCAAACAGAAGCUUCUAAAAGUCGUUACAUCAAUUUCUGUAAUCUUCCCAUUUGUUCAAGUGUUAGUCAGCUUGUAUGUAAUCCACUUGAAUUCUGAUAUAUUGAAUUAAUGCUGGAAUAAAUCUGUCUGUAUGUGAGUGUGCCCUGCGAUGGAUCGGCACCCUGUCCAGGGUGUACCCCGCCUUGUGCCCGAUGCUCCCUGGGAUAGGCUCCAGGUUUCCCCGUGACCCUGAAGGAAGGAUACGCGGUAUAGAAGAUGGAUGGAUGGAUGGAUGGAUAAAUCUGUCUGUAAUGGAUGACAUGUCAACCAGCGUAUUUCUGCCUGUAAUUUGGCGAGAGAGAAAUAUGUGAGACUGUAAGGGAACUACAGAUUAUAGUUAUUAUAACAUAAAUGACAACAGGAACUAACUUGUCUUGUGGAUGUUCCACUACAUUAAACAUAACUAUAAACCGUUAAAAAAAAAAAAAGCACACUAUGUUGCUCAUUAAUAAAUAAAAAUAGUAAAUGUUGGCCAACUGCUGUGGUAAUAAGAGGAAUUAAAACACUUUUGAGACGUUCUGUUAUAAGAAAAUAAUCCACUUCUGCAUUUAUCACCACCCUGUCACUUGUGGGGUUUUUUUUUCUUCAGUUUAAUAUUUGAAGUCUUGCUCAAAUAAACGUACAAAAAAAUAUAAACAUCCAAUCAAAUUCACAUAAAUGUCACAUGACCCUGCCCCCAACUGUGCUAAUUGGUCUUUGCGUAAAUGUUGGCCCCGCCCACCAAUCAGCACAGCACACACCUGUGACUCAUUACCUCAACAAAAUGGCCGCCGUCCAGCUGGUGUGUCGUGGAUUAUAUGCAAGAGUGUCAAUGUCUGUACUUUAGUAAGAGAUUCCGCUUUUGCUGGAGUCACCAACGACUCAUAUAGGAAGAGAUUCCGCUUUUGUUUCCCAAAUGAACACAGGCUAAUUCGACAUUUGUCCGAGUUUGCAGAAUAUUUAAUAAGUCAAACAAACGAACAAAUAAGCAGAAGCGAUUAUUGACCCAGGCGAACAGUAACUGAGGCGUGCUCAGCUUUGAAACACAGCCGUACUUAAUAAUGAAGAAACGCUGAGGCGGAAGCGUCAGCCCUUGUCGUGUAAAGACCUGCGAGUCCACCGAGCAAGGACACCGACGAAGACCCCGCAUGUGCUGCUAAAACUCUUGAAAGAGCCGUUUUGAAUCAACUCUCCAAUUUUCUCACACCGAACAACCCCCUGGACACUGAGCAACCACUCAAGCUUUCCGUCACUGAAGCCUUAUGACUAGCAAGAGCAACCUCUAGAUCAUCUGUGCUCAUCCUACUCGACCUCUCUGCUGUUUCGACACUGUGAACCAUCAGAUCCUCCUGUCAACUCUCUCCAGCCGGGGCAUCACUGGAACGGUUCUGCGCUGGGUGGAAUCCUGUCUCUCUGACAGAUCCUUCAAGGUAUCAUGGAGGGGAGGUAUUUCUGAAACUCAGCAACUCACAACUGGUGUUCCACAGGGGUCAGUUCUGGGUCCACUCCUCUUUUCUAUCAACACUACAUCUCUAGGGCAGGUGAUUGAGUCUCAUGGCUUCUCAUAUCAUUGCUAUGCUGAUGACACCCAGCUCUAUUUGUCCUUCCAGCCUGACGAUCCAUCCGUCUCUACACGCAUCUCUGCUUGCCUGUCGGACAUCUCGGUCUGGAUGAGGGAACACCAUCUUAAGCUCAACCUGGCAAAAUCUGAGCUCCUCGUCAUCGCAGCCUGUCCCUCAAUCAACCACAACCUCACUGUACAGCUCGGCUCAACCACACUCGAGCCAACCAGGAUGUCCAGGAACCUUGGGGUGACUUAUUGAUGACAGCUUGCCAUUUACAGACAACAUCUCAACAACUGCACGGUCCUGUAGGUUCAUCCUGUACAACUUCAAGAAAAUCAGACCCUACCUCACCGAACAGGCUACACAGCUACUAGUCCAGGCUUUCGUUAUCUCAAAACUGGACUACUGCAACUCACUACUUUCGGGCCUCCCGGCCAGCUCCAUCAAACCCCUUCAGAUGAUUCAGAAUGCUGCAGCGCGCCUCGUCUUCAACCAGCCCAAGAGAACCCAUGUCACACCCCUCUUCAUCUCCCUCCACUGGCUUCCUGUAGCCGCCCGCAUCAAAUUCAAGGCAUUGAUGCUCACUUACAAGACCUUGUCUAGAACAGCACCCUCCUACCUCAACUCUCUCCUGAAGGCUUACAUUCCCUCUCACAAUCUGCGACCGAAGUUUAGUAGUUCCCACUCAGUGUUGCACAAGGUCCCUUUCCAGAACCUUCACACUAACUGUUCCUCAGUGGUGGAAUGAACUUCCAACCUCAAUCAGGACCGCAGAAUCUCUCACCAUCUUCAAAGAACAGCUAAAGACCCACCUCUUCCGAGAGCACCUAACCAACUCGUAUUUAAAAAAAAAAUAAAAAUUGCACUUACACCCCUACUCUGCGCUUUGCUUCUUAUGGAACUCAAUUAAUAGAUCUUGUAGCACUACUUGUAUUGCUCUCUGCUUGAUAUAUCGCUUUGCUUGUAUUUUUCUCAUUUGUAAAUCACCUUGGAUAAAAGCAUCUGCUAAGUGAAUAAAUGUAAAUAAAUAACA